rnacentral:hammerhead_ribozyme from 1 species
AUCCAGAUGACGAGUCCACAACAGGACGAAAUGCGCAUGCUGGAU